CUUGAAGGCAAUAUUAUCAGAGAGCGCCGACGUAGGCCUAAAUAUCAGUUUGUUCCUCAAACAAAGCUAUGGUGUGAUUUCUGAUAACGUGAAACAUAGUCAUAAGGACUGCUUUUAUUGUGAUUUCCUGGGCGUGACAAAUGUAUACUUUUGUAUCCCGAAAAAUAAAGAAAGUCAUACGGACCUGUAACGUGAUGAUAAGCCUCCUGCAUUGUUUACAGUAAGGAAUGACGGAGCUGGGCCAUUUUCGCUGGGUUUGUUGCUAUGGAAAUGGACAGUGAGCACUUGGGUGAGUCUACAAGUCAAGCAGACUUUAAACAAUCUUUCACAUUUGAAGUCGGUCUCUCCUCCUUGGCUUUCUCUUGGCCCACUGAACACCCCUGAGAAGCAUGUUUUUGCUCAAAGUUUGCUGUUUCAGUGCUCAGGGGACUUAAUGAAGUUCUCUGUGAAAUGCAAAUCAGCUUUAUUUUUUAUGUCCGAAAGUCCUCCGAAAAAAUACAAUUGUUGACGCAAAGUAUGAGUAAAAGAUGCACUCGUAGGAAAAGGAUCAUGAUAGAUAUGACAGCUUAAGACGUUGCUGAGAUGUCUACAGAAACUCUUGCCACGUGUGAGUCUUUAUCUCAGGAGAAAUGUCUAAAAAGCAGGAUUUACUAGUGUGAAAAUGAGCACCAAAUUAAUAACAUCAUAUGAAAAUGUUAUUGCUUAAAAGCUGCUCUUUUGCAGCUCAGAUGUCAUGGAGAUCUCAUAGUGAAAAAAUCAGCAUCAGAUGAAUAAUAAAACAUGAAAAUGCCGCUCAGAAGCUGCUCUUCUGUAGCACAGGAGCUGUGAGGUUAAGGACCCUUUUCAUUUGAGAUGUUUCUCCUAAAAUGCAUCAGGGAAAUAAA